AUUGAACGCUGGCGGCAUGCCUUACACAUGCAAGUCGAACGGCAGCACGGGAGCAAUCCUGGUGGCGAGUGGCGAACGGGUGAGUAAUAUAUCGGAACGUGCCCAGUCGUGGGGGAUAACGUAGCGAAAGCUACGCUAAUACCGCAUACGAUCUAUGGAUGAAAGCGGGGGAUCGCAAGACCUCGCGCGAUUGGAGCGGCCGAUAUCAGAUUAGGUAGUUGGUGAGGUAAAGGCUCACCAAGCCGACGAUCUGUAGCUGGUCUGAGAGGACGACCAGCCACACUGGGACUGAGACACGGCCCAGACUCCUACGGGAGGCAGCAGUGGGGAAUAUUGGACAAUGGGCGAAAGACCUGAUCCAGCAAUGCCGCGUGCAGGAUGAAGGCCUCGG
rnacentral:rRNA from 1 species